GAUGAACGCUGGCGGCGUGCCUAAUACAUGCAAGUCGAGCGAACGGACGAGAAACUUGCUUUUCUGAUGUUAGCGGCGGACGGGUGAGUAACACGUGGAUAACCUACCUAUAAGACUGGGAUAACUUCGGGAAACCGGAGCUAAUACCGGAUAAUAUUUUGAACCGCAUGGUUCAAAAGUGAAAGACGGUCUUGCUGUCACUUAUAGAUGGAUCCGCGCUGCAUUAGCUAGUUGGUAAGGUAACGGCUUACCAAGGCAACGAUGCAUAGCCGACCUGAGAGGGUGAUCGGCCACACUGGAACUGAGACACGGUCCAGACUCCUACGGGAGGCAGCAGUAGGGAAUCUUCCGCAAAGGGCGAAAGCCUGACGGAGCAACGCCGCGUGAGUGAUGAAGGUCUUCGGAUCGUAAAACUCUGUUAUUAGGGAAGAACAUAUGUGUAAGUAACUGUGCACAUCUUGACGGUACCUAAUCAGAAAGCCACGGCUAACUACGUG
rnacentral:rRNA from 1 species